rnacentral:rRNA from 1 species
UGGGGAAUUUUGGACAAUGGGCGAAAGCCUGAUCCAGCAAUGCCGCGUGUGUGAAGAAGGCCUUCGGGUUGUAAAGCACUUUUGUCCGGAAAGAAAUCCUUGGCUCUAAUACAGUCGGGGGAUGACGGUACCGGAAGAAUAAGCACCGGCUAACUACGUGCCAGCAGCCGCGGUAAUACGUAGGGUGCAAGCGUUAAUCGGAAUUACUGGGCGUAAAGCGUGCGCAGGCGGUUUGCUAAGACCGAUGUGAAAUCCCCGGGCUCAACCUGGGAACUGCAUUGGUGACUGGCAGGCUAGAGUAUGGCAGAGGGGGGUAGAAUUCCACGUGUAGCAGUGAAAUGCGUAGAGAUGUGGAGGAAUACCGAUGGCGAAGGCAGCCCCCUGGGCCAAUACUGACGCUCAUGCACGAAAGCGUGGGGAGCAAACAGGAUUAGAUACCCUGGUAGUCCACGCCCUAAACGAUGUCAACUAGUUGUUGGGGAUUCAUUCCUUAGUAACGUAGCUAACGCGUGAAGUUGACCG